rfam:Idiomarina sp. MCCC 1A10513 contig8, whole genome shotgun sequence.
GAUCGCCUGGGAUGUGCGCCAGCACGCUAAUGUCCCUGAGCCGAUGUCAUCAGUAAAGGGGCUCACUGACCGGCUAUUGUGCAAGCUCGACCUGUAUCGAGAAGCCUACGGCCGUGAAUUUGCGCCCCGCCUUGAACCAGUGGGUUCAAGGGCCAAGGCACGCAGCGGCAUCUCGGGUGAUCA